rfam:Exophiala spinifera strain CBS 89968 unplaced genomic scaffold supercont1.3, whole genome shotgun sequence.
GGAAGGAUGGCCGAGUGGUCUAAGGCGCUGUGUUUAGGUCUCUCUUUGAACUUGAAACCGCAGUGGGAAACCGCGUGGGUUCGAAUCCCACUCCUUUCA